GUUGGACUCGGCACCGCUGGCCUCUUCCAUGCUGGAAUGAUUGUGUGACCUUGAACUCAGCCUUUGUGUGUGCCCACAAGCCUGCUCUGAGGACAGGGCCACCUUCCCUGCAGGGCCCUGGCUGCUGCCCUCAAACCCCUCUGGUUACACCUCUCCUCCCCACCUGCACCAUCACCUCCUGAGCCAGGAGGACCCUCUCCCCUGACCCACCAGAUGGUGGACGUGCGUGUGUCUGUGUCGCUCUCCAGCUUGUUCCCCUGAGGAUGCCAAAUCUCAGGUGGAACCUUUACUCUGAAGACUGCUUUGCUGAGUGAGCUCAGUCCUGGCGUCCAGGAGACAGCGCCCCUCUGGGUGCCCCAGGCUCUCCUCCUUCUUCCAGUGCGGCCAUCCCACAGAGCAUUGCUGCCUGACAGCUGUGGUCCUGGGACCUUCUGCUGAGCUCACUCGCUGGCCUGCUCUGGUAGGUCAUUAGCCAGGAACCACCUCCUCUGACCCUCACUAUGUGUGCGAACAUGAAUAAGCAAGUCGUGGUUCUGACGUGAUCAUUUCACACACAAGAGAGUCACGGCCCAGAGACUGGUCUGUGCCUGCUCGCCCUCCAGCUCCCCAUCGAAACCCACCUACGGUCCAGUGCUGUCUCCCGUCACCAACUGCAAGCCAGGCCACUGUGCACACCGGACCCCUGGGCCCGUCACACUAACACCACGCACCACACAGACACCAACGCCACAAUGACACCAGGUUGAUGCCACGCUUAUGCCACAAUAAAGUCACACUAACACCAUACACCAUACAAUCCAUCCAAUGCCAUGUUAAUAUCACACACCAUGCCAACAAGACACUAAUGUCAGGCCGACGCCAUUCACCAUGCUAACAGCACGCUGACCACACUGGAGUGCCAGGCUAAUGCCCCCAGCGGGCACCCAGCCUCUGCAGACUUUCAGGAGCACCCAGGGCAGGCGCCCACAUGCCACACCUUACUCCAGCGUGAACUGAACCUGAACCUUAUUGGCACAAAUCAACAGGGGCUGAGAGGAGCCACGGAGGGUGGCAUCAGGAGUUGAGCUCCCACACGGGUCCUGACACCCUCUCAGUGGGAGGCAGUUGGGCAUGAAGUCCUAGAGUCUCCAGAGCAUGUCCCCAGUGCCCCAAGAUACUCCUACCAGCGGCCACACUCUUCAACAGAACUCAGCAAAAGGAGCACAGCUACAGUCCCACAGAGCAGACACCUCGACAGACUCCGAAAGCUUCAAGCCUUCAUGACAGAUGUGCUGGGUCCCAUGACAGAAGCGCUCCAGCAGAGAGCAACAGCCACGCUGUCACGCCCCGUCACCCGAGCCACCCGCUGACUGGACCUCUCCAGUGUCUCCACACCCGUCACAGCUUCCUCACCACUUCUUUAUUUAAAAUGCAAGUCCUUCAGGCCACUUCCACCAGAAGGCGGACGGUCCACCCUGCAGAGAGCCCUCGCAUACACAGGCCACGUCCCGGUGCACUGGGCGGCAGAGAUGUUCUGCUCCUUAACCAUGAGACGGUACAUAUAGGGCAUCAUGGUGCAGGCCGACCCAGCCCAGCACAGGUACAAACAGGACCUGCACGUCUGUUCUGAAGGCUGAGGCAGGAGGAUCGUGAGUUCAAAGCUAGCCUCAGCAACUUAGUGAGGCCCUAAGCACUCUGUGAGAC
rnacentral:lncRNA from 1 species